rnacentral:rRNA from 1 species
UGGGGAAUAUUGCACAAUGGGCGCAAGCCUGAUGCAGCCAUGCCGCGUGUAUGAAGAAGGCCUUCGGGUUGUAAAGUACUUUCAGCGAGGAGGAAGGCGGUAAGGUUAAUAACCUUAUCGAUUGACGUUACUCGCAGAAGAAGCACCGGCUAACUCCGUGCCAGCAGCCGCGGUAAUACGGAGGGUGCAAGCGUUAAUCGGAAUUACUGGGCGUAAAGCGCACGCAGGCGGUCUGUCAAGUCGGAUGUGAAAUCCCCGGGCUCAACCUGGGAACUGCAUUCGAAACUGGCAGGCUAGAGUCUUGUAGAGGGGGGUAGAAUUCCAGGUGUAGCGGUGAAAUGCGUAGAGAUCUGGAGGAAUACCGGUGGCGAAGGCGGCCCCCUGGACAAAGACUGACGCUCAGGUGCGAAAGUGUGGGGAGCAAACA